GGAGGACCCUGCACGUCAAUUCUCGACGCGAGGGGGGUACCCUGCGCGUCGAUAAGUGAAGCAGAGGGAGCCUGACCAUGCGUCACACAUUUGACGAGUUGGGAGUGAGAACGUGUUGGUAAAAUAGUAUUGGGAACAAAUUACGACUCAAACGUGCGCGUGCAUGUUGGCGCGCGCAUAGCCGAUACAAUCGGUUACGUAAACAAAAGCGCUAAAACUCUGCUCUGGUUGUUACCAUUGUUACGGCAGAAAGGGAAACGAAGGGGCAUUAAAGCCUCACAGAAAACGGGGGAGAUUAAGGUCAAAGUUUUUCGAGUGACUAGUGAGAUGAAGUCAAUUCCCUGUGCAACACCGAGGAGUAAUUUAAGGGCAUGACCGUGAAGAACAAAAUAAUUCAGUUUUCCGGAUAUCCGAGCAGCCUCAGUCAAUAAAUGCCUGAGGUCUAGAAGCCAUUGACAUCAGCAAAUCCUGUGUUUCCUCCCACGAGAUGCUCAUCCAGGCCUUUACUGCAUCCACCUUCAUUUGCUGCUUGCUUAUUGGUGUAUUGUCUUGUCUUCAGUAACUAAAACGCUGCUCUGUUGGGCUGACAUCAGGUACCAGAGAUUACUUUUACUAGCAGCUGAAGAAGCAAGCUUGAAGAAAAACAGAAUAAAAUGGGGAAGCUCUACUGUGUCAACAUUUUUGGAAUAAUGGGUACUGUGAAUUCGAUCGACUUGGCGAACACUGAGGAGCAAUUUAGGAGCAUGACCGUGAAGCAUCUGAAGGACAAAAUAAGCCAGACUUUUCCAGUUACUCCAGAGAAUCUGCGACUUAUCUUUACAGAUAAGCUUCUGGACAGUGACUCUAACAUGCUUUGUGACUAUGGAAUUGAGGACCUGUCAGUCAUCCAUGUAGUGCUAAGACUUCCUGGAGGACCAUGUCUGCCUACUGGGGAGUGCAGUGGGCUUGGUGAAAAGACAGGGAAAAGCCAGAGUAUGGAACAUCUUCCUCAGUUUUAAAUCAUUUUAAUGAGCACGGAUACUUGGUCUCUCAUUUUACCUGUUCAAGAGUCUGACGGCUUGGAGGAUGAAGACUAAUGUUUCGCAGUCUGGCAGUGAGAGCCCAAAUGCUCCGGUAUCUCUUGCCAGAAACCAGCAGAGUGAAGAGUGCGUGUGAGGGUCCUCCACAAUGCUGGUAGCUCUGCGGAUGCAGCAGGUGCCUGUGGUGGAGGGAGGACAGGCUCCGGUGAUCUUCUCAGCUGCUCUCACUAUCAGUUGUAGGGUAUUGCGAUCCAAUACAGUGCAGUUACCAUACCAAACAGUGAUGCAGCUGCUCAGGACACUCUCAAUAGUCCCUCUUAUCUCUUGUCUUUUGUCCACGUUCAGAGACAGGUUGUUGCCUCUACACAAGUUCGUUAGCUGUUGUACCUCCUCUCUCUAUGCUGACUCAUCACUCUUGCUGAUGAAACCACAGUUGUGUCAUCAGCGAACUUGAUCGUGUGUUUCGAACAGUGCAUUGCUGCAUGUCUGAGGGGCUCCAGUGCUUAGUGUGGUUGUGUUGGCGACUGUGGCAGCGGUGUGGUCUCUGGCUCUGCAGCAGUGGAGGCAUGGUGCAGUGGGCUCAAGGGACAGUGCUAGAGUGGCUGGCAGGGCAGCUUCUGCCACUCAGUAAUCAAACUCUCCCCUUUCAGUGAUGCAGGUGCUCAAGAGAGCAGCUGAGUGUGGAGUGGAGAAGCAUCUGAAAAGCUGACCUUCCGAACCAGAAAAAAAGGAAAAACCUAUUGUGCAAAUAAACACCACAAAACUGUCGCCUGAAGCUUUGUAGGAUCCAUUCAUUUCACAGAGAUGCUGUUACCAAUCCAGACUGACUGAGGUCUGCCCGUCAGAAAGUCCAGGAUCCAGUUGCAGGGGGAGAUGUUCAGGCCCAGCAGGCUCAGUUUUCCAAUGUUAAAAUGAAGUUAUCUGAAGUGCCUUAAUGUUAUGCUUUAUAUUAAUUAAAGUGUCAUAUAAACCAUAGAGUGCAGAACAGUAUUGAAUGGACAUGGCCCUGAUAAUAUUAAAGGCCUUAGGCUACGUAUCCUUUAGUGGUGGAAAUGUAGGAGACUCUCGCCCACGCUUGUCUGCAGAAGUUGAUAACAGGGAGCCAUCUGCCAGUGGAAAUUUACUAGAAGGGAGUAAGGCAAGGUUGCAGCUGGAGCUGAGAAAAGAUGUUUUGCAGCUAAUAGACAAUAACGCUAUGCAACGUAACUACUAAAUGCUUGUGUAACACUGUUGUUUAGACUAAAAUGGGACAGUCAGUAAUAAAACUGUUAAGCGCACAUCGCCAUUUCGAGAUUCGCGGUAGCGUGUCAUGCAGGACGCAUCUCCCUUCCAGAAGUAAUAAAAGUGUUGAAAUGGUCUACUAAGCAGUGUGUUGUCUCCCACCUAUGAGCAAUCAAAAGAACUUGGUGAAGUGUUGAUACGUAACACUAAUCAGGUGCUGAGGAAUGAUUAUGUUAAAUGCUGAACUGAAAUCUAUGAACAGCAUUGGUAUAUACGUGUCUGUAAUGUCCAGGUGGGUGAGAGCCAUAGCCUAAGUCACUGAGCCAUGUUUCUGUAAAAACAAAGACACAGCAGUCCCUAAAUUCCCGCUGUGUAGUCCGCUGGAUGGUAAAUGGACUGAUUCUUAUAUACCGGUUUUCUACUGUAUCUUAGCACUCAAAGCGCUUUACACCCAUUCACACAAGCACUUUUUACUACACUGUUCCUAAGUGCUUCCUAUCUAACGUUCCCAUGCAUUCAUACUCCAAUGAAUGCUCCAGAGAGCAACAUGGGGUUAGGAUAUUUGACAUAUUUGACAUACAGAGCGGGAUCGAACUAAAAACCUUCCGGUUAGUAGGUGACCAGCUCUACCACCUGAGGUACAGCCACCCCUGGAGUCGGAUGUAGUCCAGUUUAUUGUCCAGUGAGCAAGUGUUUGAGAGCCGAAUGGAUGGGAAUCUGCUUCCUCUUCCUUGCACAUGGUUUUUGGCAACCCAUCCCUUUAUAAGAAUGCAGAUCAAGUUAUGCUACUGACAAGAAAUAUAGUUCAUAAUUUUAACCUGGAAAUCAUUGACAAUCAUUGACUUUAUGUGGUUAUUUUUGCAAACAAGAAGUGAUUAAUGUCCCUGACAGCACACCACAAAAGCCAGACAGAUUGUCAAGGUAGUAAAGGGUCAGAAGAUUCUAGAAAGGGAAAUAUAUAAGAGAAAUAUAAGAGAAUAUGGGGGAGGUAGACAAAAUGUUGGAAGAUAAAAUACCCAAAGAUAAUCAGAUGAAUGAACAGAGGAGCAUUAGCAGGUUUCUUAAAAUGGCUAGAAAGUCAAUGAAAUAUUAGUAUAAGUUUGGAAAAAAUGUCAGCUUUUUAAAAGUCAACAAA